rnacentral:tRNA from 1 species
GCCUCUGUGACGCAAUUGGCAGACGUGUCCGGCUUAAAACUGGAAUGAUGCGAGUUCGACUCUCGCCAGAGGUA